UACGUAGGGGGCAAGCGUUGUCCGGAAUCAUUGGGCGUAAAGAGCGUGUAGGCGGCCAGACAGGUCCGUUGUGAAAACUCGAGGCUCAACCUCGAGAUGUCGAUGGAAACCGUCUGGCUAGAGUCCGGAAGAGGAGUGUGGAAUUCCUGGUGUGGCGGUGAAAUGCGCAGAUAUCAGGAAGAACACCUAUGGCGAAGGCAGCACUCUGGGACGGUACUGACGCUGAGACGCGAAAGCGUGGGGAGCGAACAGG
rnacentral:rRNA from 1 species